AUUAGACGAAUAAAACAUAUAACGUUGCCAUCUCGACCCUGAUGCCCAUGAACACAAAUGACGAGUUUAAGACAAACCAAUGGCGGAAUGGAAUUGAUUAAUGGAAUAAAAUAUUUAUUAUGUAUGGACACUAAGUUUUAUGGUUAGACUUUAGCCUAAAAAAACAUGCGCGCUGAUUACAAUUUUGGCAGUCAUAUCUGAAUGGCUCAAAAACUGGUUAUAUUUCUUUAACUUUUGGUAUACUUAAAUUCGGGCUAUUAUUUAAUAUAUAUAUUGAUCAACAGCGGCGAUAAAAAUCAUUAGUCUCGACAAUGACUAGUUGUCAGUGAAAGUCUCUCAGGGGAGCCAGGCGGCUCUGUGAAUAAAGAGCUGGCUUGAACGCCUCGUGUUCAUUAGCCUGAAUAGUGAAGGAAUGCGGUCAUUAAACCCCAAUUUCAUUUCAUAAAUCUCUCGGCUCAAUAAUGAGCUACUCGGGUUGGUUAGAUCCACGCCUUAAUGCAUAUACAACCAAUAGAGAAAUAGGUCAAAUAUGGCGACAAUGAUCAACUUGCUCUUCUUCUACUAAAUUAAAGAUUCGUGUGGAGAUUCUGUCGAUAUAAUCAUAUAUUUAUAUCUGCUCUUUCUUAAAAUGGAGACGACAGAGAAGAAAACUACGAUUUGGAGGUGUUCCAAAAGAAGCGGACCAACACGAUGUCCGGCAACAGUAAUCCAAGAUGGUGAUACAUACCAACCAGGCUUAAAGAACCAUCUUCACCCAGCAGAACCCGGUAUACACACGGCUACCAAGAUAAAAGUUACAGCAAAGCAUGAAGCCAAAGGAAAUGUUUUUACCAAGUCAUGUUCCUCAAUAGCGGAGAGAGUUUUAUCCAGUGUCGGUUCUGCAGAAGAACCCAUUCAUAGCAGACCACCCAUGGCAGCACUUGUAAGGUCGCUACAAAGAACCCGACAGACUCUGCGACCAAAAGAUCCCACUGACGUGUAGUCAAGCCUUGACGAAGAUUUCAUCGAUCAUAGUGCACCGGGAUUUUAUCAAAAAAGAGUAAAAGUUUGGGAAAGGCGCCAUCACAUUUUUUGUACUGAUAGACAGAUGCAACUACUCGCACGCGCAAAAACUUGGUAUAUGGAUGCAACUUUUCAGGUGGUGAACAAGCCAUGGUCUCAGCUAUUUUCCAUCCACGCCUUCAUUAAGACUGGAGAGACCACCCGACAGUUACCAUUGGUGUUUUGUGUAAUGUCGGGUAAAAGCCAAGACGACUAUUAUAAGUCAGUGAUGAUAUGUGACUCUUUCCAUCUUCCAGCAAUAAUUAUUGAGAAUUUACCAAGGACUCCAUUGGCAUUGAAUCGAAGAAAAACAGUUUCAAUAUUGGAUGUAUAUGCAAAUCACCCAGAAAAAUAUCAUGUAAUAACAAAAGAAAUUAUAAAAGAAAAAAAUGGAAGAAGAAAUGGCUGGAAAAAAUGAUGAUAGAGCAGCUUUUUCUUGUUACCCACCUCGGAAGAUCAAGUUGGAAAGGGCUAUUGAUAUUGUGGAGACGUUUUCUCACAGAUCUUGCUUAUCAGACAAAGACUAUGUAAGUACCAUGCAUAUUUGCUUUUUAAAUCAGGAACUGGUUCUAUACACUUGGUGGGGGGUUGGAUGGACGUUAAACCCCAUUUCUCUCUCUCUCUCCUAAAUAUUGAGAUUUUUGUUUACUUUUAAACUGCAUAUAUUCAAGGUAUCAGGAGCUUUUUAUGGCUCCCGUACAAUUUUAUAAACAUGAAGGACUGUACCUUUUGAAUAUUAAGCCAUCAAAUUAUUUUAUAAUUUUGAAAAUGAAAUGAAAUGGGGUUUA